rnacentral:rRNA from 1 species
AUUGAACGCUGGCGGCAGGCCUAACACAUGCCAGUCGAACGGUAACAGGAAGCAGCUUGCUGCUUUGCUGACGAGUGGCGGACGGGUGAGUAAUGUCUGGGAAACUGCCCGAUGGAGGGGGAUAACUACUGGAAACGGUAGCUAAUACCGCAUAACGUCGCAAGACCAAAGAGGGGGACCUUAGGGCCUCUUGCCAUCGGAUGUGCCCAGAUGGGAUUAGCUAGUAGGUGGGGUAACGGCUCACCUAGGCGACGAUCCCUAGCUGGUCUGAGAGGAUGACCAGCCACACUGGAACUGAGACACGGUCCAGACUCCUACGGGAGGCAGCAGUGGGGAAUAUUGCACAAUGGGCGCAAGCCUGGUGCAGCCAUGCCGCGUGUAUGAAGAAGGCCUUCGGGUUGUAAAGUACUUUCAGCGGGGAGGAAGGGAGUAAAGUUAAUACCUUUGCUCAUUGACGUUACCCGCAGAAGAAGCACCGGCUAACUCCGUG